rnacentral:rRNA from 1 species
ACUCCUACGGGAGGCAGCAGUGGGGAAUAUUGCACAAUGGGCGGAAGCCUGAUGCAGCAACGCCGCGUGAGGGAUGACGGCCUUCGGGUUGUAAACCUCUUCUAGCAAGGAAGAAGCGAAAGUGACGGUACUUGCAGAAAAAGCGCCGGCUAACUACGUGCCAGCAGCCGCGGUAAUACGUAGGGCGCAAGCGUUAUCCGGAA